rnacentral:rRNA from 1 species
CAGCGUCACGAGUGGCAUCCAUUUUUAUUGGGUCUAAAGUGUCCGUAGCUGGAUUUGAAAGUCUUCUGUGAAAUCGUUGGGCUUAACCUAACGCAUUGCAGGAGAAACUUCAGAUCUUGAGACCGGGAGGGGCUAGAGGUAUUCUUAGGGUAGCGGUAAAAUGCGAUAAUCCUGGGAGGACCACCUGUGGCGAAGGCGUCUAGCUAGAACGGGUCUGACAGUGAGGGACGAAGGCUAGGGGAGCGAUCCGGAUUAGAUACCCGAGUAGUCC